UUCAUUUAAAAAGUAAACUGCAGACUAUGGCACUAUUCUUUGGUUUGUUAUGGUACUGAGUAAAGAUGCUAGUGGAUAUGUCUUCCAUGACUGAUUUCCUAUUCAAUCUUACCUUGUUCCCUGUUGUUAGUCCUGAGAAUAUGAAACCAUCCUACAUUGCUUUGCCCACUGUCUAAUGAGACAGGGAUAGACAGCACUCUCAGGGUAGUCAAUCUGUAUGCUUAUCAGUGGUCACUGAUGUUUCUUCUUUGGAAAAUUUGAAUCAAGCAAUACAAAGACUCAGAGAAUGGACAACUGAGUCAGAUAAGUGGUAGGACACCAGAGUAAGUAUGCACGUAUGUGUAUUGUUAAACUUCCUGAAACUAUCUUCUUCAUUCCUGCUUUUCCUGGAACCUAUACAGCUUCCUCUUCCAGGAGAUCUUUAUCCUUUUACUUAACCUAACUUGAGUAGAUUCUAUUCGUUAGAAUCUAAUGAUUACUAAGAGCAUGUGAGUGUCCAGUUCUUGGUCAUAAGUGGGUCUAUUGGCUUGUCUCUUCCAGGAAUUCAGAUAAGAUGUGUUCCCCAGGCCAGCAGUCCUUCAUGCUGCUUGUCAUAAGGAGAAAAGAAUAUGGAGAGAGCAGCAUAGAUGCAAAUCAGCCUUUACUCGUUGGAAGACCAUUGCUGGCAGGAACCUAACUGAAACAGAGCCAACAGCUUAUGAAAAACAACCAGCCAGCAGCUUCUUCCCAACCAACUCAACAGCAAACCUGUAGCAUUGUGUGGCCAGGUGCCAUGGCUCACGCCUGUAAUCCCAGCACUUUUGGAGGCUGAGGCAGGAGGUUCGCUUGAGUCCAGGAGUUCAAGACCUAUAGCAUUGUGUAUUUUGCUUUUCAUCUUCUCUACUCUCCCUCUGGGAGUUUAAACAAUAGAACACUGAUUGGAAGACAGAAACAAGAUGUUAGGAAACUCGGGAAACCUGGAGCAAACAGUUGCCUCUGAAAGGAUUUCACUGCUUUUGAGAGGUGACAGCGUGCUGGCAGUCCUCACAGCCCUUGCUCGCUCUCGG
rnacentral:lncRNA from 10 species